CUGAGGGGAAGUCGACGGCAGAUGCAUAGACGGCACAAGCUCAGCUGAUCUCCGCAGGCAGAAGACCAACCUCAUCACAGCUCCAACUUCAGGGAUGACAAACUAUUUGUCCCAGGACAACAUUGGACCUGAAACGGAGAAGAACUAGUGCAAAAACUACCAAUCAUUACCCUGAGUGACAAAUAUUAAUGUAUUUGCAAAUAAACAUCCAUUUAUG